rnacentral:rRNA from 1 species
UACGUAGGGGGCAAGCGUUGUCCGGAAUUAUUGGGCGUAAAGCACGUGUAGGCGGCCAGAUAAGUCCGCUGUGAAAUCUCGAGGCUCAACUUCGAGCUGUCGGUGGAAACUGUCUGGCUAGAGUCCGGAAGAGGAGAAUGGAAUUCCUGGUGUAGCGGUGAAAUGCGCAGAUAUCAGGAAGAACACCCGUGGCGAAGGCGGUUCUCUGGGACGGUACUGACGCUGAGACGCGAAAAGCGUGGGGAGCGAACAGG